rnacentral:rRNA from 1 species
UACAGGGGGGGGCAAGCGUUGUUCGGAAUUACUGGGCGUAAAGGGCUCGUAGGCGGCCAACUAAGUCCGACGUGAAAUCCCAAAGCUUAACUUUGGAACUGCGUCGGAUACUGGAUGGCUUGAAUUCGGGAGAGGGAUGCAGAAUUCCAGGUGUAGCGGUGAAAUGCGUAGAUAUCUGGAGGAAUACCGGUGGCGAAGGCGGCAUCCUGGACCGACAUUGACGCUGAUGAGCGAAAGCUAGGGGAGCAAACGGG